rnacentral:rRNA from 1 species
GAUGAACGCUGGCGGCGUGCCUAAUACAUGCAAGUCGAGCGAACAGACGAGGAGCUUGCUCCUCUGACGUUAGCGGCGGACGGGUGAGUAACACGUGGAUAACCUACCUAUAAGACUGGGAUAACUUCGGGAAACCGGAGCUAAUACCGGAUAAUAUAUUGAACCGCAUGGUUCAAUAGUGAAAGACGGUUUUGCUGUCACUUAUAGAUGGAUCCGCGCCGCAUUAGCUAGUUGGUAAGGUAACAGCUUACCAAGGCGACGAUGCGUAGCCGACCUGAGAGGGUGAUCGGCCACACUGGAACUGAGACACGGUCCAGACUCCUACGGGAGGCAGCAGUAGGGAAUCUUCCGCAAUGGGCGAAAGCCUGACGGAGCAACGCCGCGUGAGUGAUGAAGGUCUUCGGAUCGUAAAACGCUGUUAUUAGGGAAGAACAAAUGUGUAAGUAACUAUGCACGUCUUGACGGUACCUAAUCAGAAAGCCACGGCUAACUACGUG